rnacentral:rRNA from 1 species
ACGGUUACCUUGUUACGACUUAGCCCCAGUCACCGAUUUCGCUCUAGGGCGCGCCUCCCGGCGACGCACUUCAAGCGCCCUCGGCUCCCAUGGCUUGACGGGCGGUGUGUACAAGGCCCGGGAACGUAUUCACCGCGCCAUGGCUGAUGCGCGAUUACUAGCGAAUCCAGCUUCACGGAGUCGGGUUGCAGACUCCGAUCCGAACUGAGAGGGGCUUUCGGGUUCCGCUCGGCGUCGCCGCCUGGCUUCCCGCUGUACCCCCCAUUGUAACACGUGUGUCGCCCCGGACGUAAGGGCCGUGCUGAUUUGACGUCAUCCCCGCCUUCCUCGCGGCUUGCGCCGGCAGUCCGUGCAGAGUCCCCAGCCCUUCCUGCUGGCAACUGCACGCGGGGGUUGCGCUCGUUAUGGCACUUAAGCCGACACCUCACGGCACGAGCUGACGACAACCAUGCAGCACCUCGGAAGACGUCCCGAAGGAAAAGGGCGUCUCUGCCCCAACCGUCUCCCGUUUGAACCCGGGUAAAGUUCC